CAAUAUAAGUGAUGGCGACCGACGCACGGGUGAGUAACACGUAUCCAACCUGCCGAUAACUCGGGGAUAGCCUUUCGAAAGAAAGAUUAAUACCCGAUGGUAUAAUAAAACCGCAUGGUUUAAUUAUUAAAGAAUUUCGGUUAUCGAUGGGGAUGCGUUCCAUUAGGCAGUUGGUGAGGUAACGGCUCACCAAACCUUCGAUGGAUAGGGGUUCUGAGAGGAAGGUCCCCCACAUUGGAACUGAGACACGGUCCAA
rnacentral:rRNA from 1 species